GUGAAUCUCGGCGGCGCGAUUGGAGGAGCGCGGUGGUCGUAGUACAGCAGCCGGAGCAGUAGUGGCGGUGGAGUUGCUCGGCGUCUGAAAUUAAGGUCGCGCCUUUCGCGGUUGGCUGGGGAAGAAGGUGGCGUUGGAGACUUGGAGUGAUGAGAGAGGUGGGCGGAGACGCGGUGGUCGACGGGCAGCCGGAGCAGUAGUGGCGGUGGAGUUGCUCGGCGUCUGAAAUUAAGGCCGCGCCUUUCGCGGUUGGCUGGGGAAGAAGGUGGCGUUGGAGACUUGGAGUGAUGAGAGAGGUGGGCGGAGAUGCGGUGGUCGACGGAACAAAAGGAUUUUUUUUUUUUUUUAAUUUAAAAGAGCUUGACAAAACGACGUCGUUUUACUAUAUCGGAAAAUCGUCCACGUCAACAAAAUCCGGCGGCCACGUCACCACCGAUCAAAGUGUUAGUCAACGCGGGUGCAAAUUGCGAUUAAAUUGAAAAGUCAUGUAUUCUGGGGCUAAUUUUGAAGGUCAUGUGCAAUAUGCAAAUCUCAAAAUAGUUCGUGUAUUUUCCGGCUAUUAACCC
rnacentral:lncRNA from 1 species